UACGUAGGGUGCGAGCGUUGUCCGGAAUUAUUGGGCGUAAAGAGCUCGUAGGCGGUUUGUCGCGUCGGAUGUGAAAGCCCGGGGCUUAACUCCGGGUCUGCAUUCGAUACGGGCAGGCUAGAGUUCGGUAGGGGAGAUCGGAAUUCCUGGUGUAGCGGUGAAAUGCGUAGAUACUGGGAGGAACACCAGUGGCGAAGGCGGCUACCUGGACCGGUACUGACGCUGAGGCGCGAAAGCGUGGGUAGCAAACAGG
rnacentral:rRNA from 1 species